AAUUAUCCCGGGAAUCAUCCUGGGAAUCGUCCUGGAAAUCCCAGAAAUCAUCCCGGAAAUCAUCCCAGGAAUCCCAGGAAUCAUCACAGAAAUCCCAGAAUUCCUUUGGGAAUUCCCAAAUUCCACCCUCAAAAUCCCAGAAUUCCUUUGGGAAUCCCCCAAAUCCCAGAAUUCCUUUGGGAAUUCCCAAAUCCCACCAAUAAAAUCCAGGAAUUCCUUUGGGAAUUCACAAAAUCCCACCCCCAAAAUCCCAGAAUUCCUUUAAGAAUCCCCCAAACCUCAGAAUUCCUUUGGGAAUUCCCAAAUCCCACCCACAAAUCCCAGAAUUCCUUUAAGAAUUCCCAAAAUCCCCACCCUCAAAAUCCCAGAAUUUCUUUGGGAAUUCCCAAAUCCCCUCCACAAAAUCCCAGAAUUCCUUCAAGAAUUCCCAAACCCCAGAAUUCCUCUGGGAAAUCCCAAAAUGCCACCCCCGAAAUCCCAGAAUUCCUUUUGGAAUUCCCCAAAAUCCCGGAAUUCUCCCCCAAAUCCCGGAAUUCCAUACCCUGCCAGGAGAGCGAUUCCCUCGUGGUGCCGCUCGGGAAUUCCCAUCAAUUCCCAACCUCCGGAAUUCCCAACGUCCCGCACGACCUCGGAGCCGCCGGCCCGGACCAGAGCGGCCUGAAGGGUGCUCACGGCGUAGCUGAUUUGGGAUUGGCUCCAGGAUUGGAUCCAGGACCGGAUCCAGGAUUAGGUUUGGAAUUGGUUCCAGGACUGGAUUUGGGAUUGGAUCUGAGACUGCAUUUGGGACUGGAUCCAGGAUUGGAUUCAGGAUUGGAUCCAGGAUUUGACCUGGGACCGGAUCUGGGACCGGAUUCGGGAUUGGAUCUGGGACCAGAUCUGGAAUUGGCUCCAGGAUUGGAUUCAGGAUUGGAUCCAGGAUUGGAUCCAGGAUUGGGUCUGGAUUUGGCUCCAGGACUGAAUUUGGGACCAGAUCUGGGACUGGCUCCAGGACUGGCUCCAGGACAGGAUCCAGGACUGGAUCCAGGAUUGGAUCCAGGAUUGGGUCUGGAUUUGGCUCCAGGAUUGGAUCCAGGAUUUGAUCCAGAACCAGAUUCAGGAUUGGAUUUGGGACCGGAUCCGGGACUGGAUCCGGAAUUGGCUCCAGGACCGGGUCCAGGACCGGGUCCAGGACCUGAUUCCAGAUUGGAUUCAGAAUUGGAUUCGGGAUUGGGUCCGGAAUUGUCUCCAGGACCAGGUCCAGGACCGGAUUCUGGAUUGGAUUCGGGAUUGGAUCGGGAUUGGGUCCAGAACUGGCUCCAGGACCGGCUCCAGAACUGGAUUCAGGAUUGGAUUCGGGAUUGGAUUUAGGAUUGGGUCCAGAAUUGGCUCCAGGACCGGGUCCAGGAUCGGAUUUGUGAUUGGAUUUGGGAUUGGAUCGGGAUUGGGUCCAGAAUUGGCUACAGGACCGGAUUUGGGAUUGGAUUCAGGAUUGGAUCGGGAUUGGGUCCAGAAUUGGCUCCAGGACCUGUUCCAGGGCCGGAUUUAGGAUUGGAUUUGGGAUUGGAUCAGGAUUGGGUCCGGAAUUGGCUCCAGGACCGGAUUCCGGAUUGGAUUCGGGAUUGGGUCCGGAAUUGUCUCCAGGACCAGGUCCAGGACCGGAUUCUGGAUUGGAUUUGGGAUUGGAUCGGGAUUGGGUCCAGAACUGGCUCCAGGACCGGCUCCAGAACUGGAUUCAGGAUUGGAUUCGGGAUUGGAUUUAGGAUUGGGUCCGGAAUUGGCUCCAGGACCUGCUCCGGGAUCAGAUUCCGGAUUGGAUUUGGGAUUGGGUCAGGAUUGGGUCCGGAAUUGGCUCCAGGACUGGAUUUAGGAUUGGAUUCAGAACUGGAUUCGGGAUUGGAUCAGGAUUGGGUCCGGAAUUGG
ensembl:lncRNA